AUCAAGGUUUAAAUGUGUGGUUAAAACCUAAACAAAUAAUGCCAUAAAUAGAAGACCUUGUUAAUAAUGAGAAAGUGUUGAAGAAAUUACUAAAAAGGAAGUCCCUAAGUUUAGAUUUUGAUUGCUUUUAGAGGGAAAGAAGUUGAUUAGUGUAAAGGUGAUGACCAAAGUUCUUAAGUAACUUAGCAAAUCUUCAUUUUUCAUCUUUAUGCUUUUGAAACUUUAAAAAAUUCAUUUCCUUUAAGUUUUAUAAGGUUCAACAUUCAAAAUUCAAUGUUCAGGUUAUGUAAAAAUGUGGUCUUCAUGUUGACUUGUCUUUCUCUAACUACCAUAAGAGGUUUUUUACUCUUGACUUUUUCCUCUUAAGUUGUGAUGUUACAAAUAUGCAGUUGGUAGUGCUGAUGUAUACAGUAAAACUUUGCCAUUGUGUAUUGAAUUAUAUGACUUUUGGCUUCUCAAAGUAGAGUUUUUAGUGCACCUUAAAAAAAGUUUUCUGUAUUGUAUUUAUUUUUAAGAUUUUAUUUAUUUAUUUGACAGAAAAAGACACAGCAAGAGAGGGAACAGAAGAGGAGGAGUGGGAGAGGGGGAAGCAGGCUUUCCACUGAGCAGGGACCCCGAUGUGGGGCCCAGUCCCAGGACCCUGAGAUCAUGACCUGAGCUGAAGGCAGAGGCUUUAACCCACUGAGCCACCCAGGCACCUUUGAUUGACAGAAUUUAAUAAGAAGGUCCAUUAUCAAUUCUGUGGCAUUCCCAGUGGGAAAUAAAUCGAGAACAGAAAAAAAAUGUGAAAGUAGCACUAUCUAUGCCUGCUGAGUGAUUUAAGUGGAAGUUUGCUGUCAGUCAAACCUGAGCCAGGUCAGUAAGGGCAAAUUAAUACUGCAUUUAUGUUUUAAAAUACCUUUUUUUUUAAGAUUUUAUUUAUUUAUUUGACAGAGAUCACAAGUAGGCAGAGAGGCAGACAGAGAGAGAGGGAAGCCAACUCCCUGCUCAGCAGAGAGCCCGAUGCGGGAUUUGAUCCCAAGACCCUGAGAUCAUGACCUAAGCUGAAGGCAGCUGCUUAACCCACUGAGCCACCCAAGUGCCCCUUUAAAAUAUCUUAAGUGUACAUAAAGAUAUGUACAUAAAAGGAGGAACGUAUAUAUAAAAGGAGAAACAUAAAAAUGUACAUAAAGGAGAAAAGUGGUCAAGUAUGCACAUCAUCAAAUUAAAGCUUCCCUAAUCCUACUAUCCUCACUACCCUCCCCAAACCCCCCCCAGAGGUGAUCAUCACCUUGACUUCUGUGCUUUAUCAUGUUUUUGGUAAACUUUCACUACAUGUAUGUAUCCAUAAACACUCUACACUAAUAUCAUUUUCCUUCAUUUUGAUGUUUAUAUGGAUAAUAUCGUAGUUCUCUUUUAUUUGCUUAAAAUUGUUUUGAGAUUUAUCUGUAUUUGAUACAUAUAACAGUAGACCAGUGGUUCUCAACCAGGAGCAAAUUUGCCCCCAUUGCCCAUCCCCCCCACCAACCAAAGGCACGUUUGGCAAUAUCUGGAGAAAUUCUUGUUGUCACACCUGGAGAUAGUGCUAUGGACAUCUAGUAUGUGGAGAUCAGGGCUGUUGCUAAACAUCGUAUAAUGCACAGGACAGCCCCAUAAUAAAGAAUUGCCCAACCCCAAAUGGCAGUAUUAACAUGAUUGAGAAACCUUGCUUUAAUUUUUCACUAUUAUAUAAUAUUCUAUUGUGUGACUCUACUGGAUUUAUUUAUCCAUUUCCCUAUUUGCAAACAUUUAGGUUGCAAACAAUUGUGGUUUGGAGAACAAAUCUAAAGGAUUGGAACUGAGGUAACUAGAGAAGGAAGAGUAAGAAAUUUCAAUUUCGAUUUAAAGCAAAUUGAUGAAUAAUAAAUAAUUUAAAAAGGAAAAACAGGAGCGUAAUUGGAGGGAGAAGAUAACAUUCUUUUUAUCAAAAAGAUGAGUAAGAUCUGGAGAUGUGCACAUGGAAAAAAAGAUGAUACAUGAGGUUGUUGGAUGGGUAAGAAUGGAGAGUGAUGUAUUCAGAGAGGGCCCUAGAACCUAUGGAAAUAGCUGUAAGGAGGCUGGGAAGUAAAUGGUUGAAGAAGAAAAGUGUAAGUGUACACUCAAGAACAUUCAAGAAGUGUACACUUAAGAAAGUGUAGUUAACCAAAAAUAGUAAAAUCAAGGUAUUUUGGGGACAAAUUUUUUAUAUAUUUUUUAUAUAUUUUAUAAAUUUUCUAUAUAUUUUUCUAUACUGUACAAUGUAUAAUUAGAAAAGUUAUUUUUUGUUUUAAAAUGGUAUUAGUUUGAUGUAAUAAACCAUCUUACAGUUACCUUGGACAAGUUAAAUAACCCUGAUUUUCUCAGGUGGCUCAGCCGUUAAUCAUCUGCCUUUGGCUCAGGUCACAAUCCCAGGGUCCUGGGAUCAGGCCCCACAUUGGGCUCCCUGCUCAGCAGGAAGCCUGCUUCUCUCUCUCCCACUCCCCGUUUGUGUUCCCUCUCUCUAUCUCUCGGCCAAAUAAUAAAACCUUAAAAACUAAUUUUCUCUGCAUUGUUAUAGAUAGUAAUGUCUACCUUGGACCAUUAAACAGUAAAGAUCACCUAUGUCGAUAUUAACUGGGAGCAUCUAGCUGCCUCAGUUGGUAAAGCAUGUGACUCUUGAUCUCAGGGUUACGAGUUUGAGCCCACAUUGGGUAUAGAGUUUACUUUUCAAAAAUUCUGUUGUAUUUUUAUGUGCCUGCAAUAAGCAGUUGGGAAAUGAAGUUUUAUAAAAUGCUUUUUGUAAAGCCAAAAAAUAAAAAACUUUUAAAAUUGCUUAGGAAUAAAAUGUUUAGUAAUAAAUUUAACCAAAGAUGUGAAAGAUCUCUAUACUAAGCCAAAAAAUAUUGCCAAGAGAAAUUAAAGAUGUAAAUGAAAGAGUUAUCAUUGUGAAUGGGAGGCUUUGAAUUAGAAGACUGAACAUGGUUAGGACAGCAGUUCUACAGAGUCUGCAUAACACCAACCAGCGUGUAUUCUUACAGAAAUGGACUAAGUUAUUCUAAAAUUUUUAUUGAUGUAUCACUUUUUUUUUUUUUAAGAUUUUUAUUUAUUUGACAGAUAGAGAUCACAAGUAGGCAGAAAGGAAGGGCAGAGAGAGAGAGGAGGGAGCCGGCUUCCUGCCGAGCAGAGAGCCCAAUGUGGGGCUUGAUCCCAGGAUCGAGCUCAAUCCCUGGGAUCAUGACCGGAGCCGAAGGCAGGGGCUUUAACCACACUGAGCCACCCAGGCACCCCUAAAAUUUUUAUUGAAAUAAAAUUUUUUAUUGAAAGACCCUAGAAUACCCAAAGUGAUCUUGAGAAAGAAUGGAAUUGGAGGACUUCCUCUAAUUUGAAGACUUAGUACAAACCUAUAAUAAUCAAGAUGUUACAUUAUUAUAAGAAUAAACUAAUAGUGGAGCAGAAUAAAGAGCUCAGAAAUAAACCUACAUUUAUAUCGUCAUUUGAUUUUCAACAGAUACUAAAACAGACCAAUAGAGAAAGAAAUGUGUUUAACAAAUGGUACUAGAAUAACUGUGUGUAUAUAGUGAGAGGAUAGAUAGAUAGAUAGAUAUCCCCUACCUCAUAGCAUACAAAAAAAAAUUAAUUCGAGAGGAAUUAUAGACCCAGAUGUAAGGCCUAAAACUCUAUAGCUUCUAGAAGAAAAUUUGGAGGAACUUCUUUACACCUUAGAGGGUAGGAGAAGAUUUCUUUGGACAAAGAGAGCAAUAACCUUAAGGAAAACAUUGAUAAAUUGGAUUUCGUCAAAUUUAGAACAUCUGCUUAUCUCACAGACUCAAAGAAAAUACAGAAAAUAUUUAUAAAGCAUAUCUGUGAAAAGGGACUUGUAUCCGUAAUAUAAAUAACUCUUAUAACUGAAUAAUAAAAAGACAACUCAAUAUAUAUUUUUCUUUCUCUCUUUGAGAAAGUGAGCAAGUGGGGACCUGCAGAGGGAGAGUGAGAGAGAAUUUGGGGCAGACUUCAGACCAGUGGUGAGCUGAUGGAACUUGGGGCUCGAUCUCACAACCCUGAGAUCAGGACCUAAGCUGAAAUCAAGAGUCAGACACUUAACCAACUGCGCCACCCAGGCACCCGUCUUUCUUCUUUUCUUUUCUUUUCUAUUCUCUUUUUUUUAAAAGUUUAUUUAGGGGUGCCUGGGUGGCCCAGUCACUUGAACAUGGGACUCUUGGUUAUAGCUUGGGUUGUGACCUAAGGGUUUUGAGAUUGAGCCCUGCAUUGGGCUCUUUGCUGAGUGAGGAGUCUGCUUUGAACUGUCUCUCCCUCUCGCUUUGGGCCCCUACCACUCUAAUCCCAUCGUAGGUCUCCUGCACACGAGCUUUUCUCUUAAAAAAAAAAAAAAAAAAAAUCUUAAAGUUAAUUUAAGUAAUUUCUACACCUGAUGUGGGGCUCAAACAACCCUCAGAUCAAGUUGCAGCUGAGCCAACCAGGUAUCCCGACAACUUAAUAUUUUAAAAAAACAAGCAAGAUUUGAACAGAUUCUUCACAAUGGAAGAUACACAAAUGGCCAGUAGUCACAUGAACAAAAUGAUGAGUGUCAUUAGUCACAAGGGAAGUGUGUAAAUUCAGAUUAUAAGAUACUGCUACCCAUUCACCACAAUGGCUAAAAUGUGUAAGUUUGAAAACAUUAAAUUUGGUGACAUUUUCAAGUGUUUGGAACUCAUACAUAGUAAGAGCAUGAAGUAGAAACCAUUUUGGGAAAGGGUGUGGCAGAUUUUUGUGAAACUAAACAUAAGCCUAUCCUGUGACGCAGCACUUAUAGAUAUUUACUCAAGAGAAACAAAGGUAUAUGGGCAUUUAUUAUAAUUUUAUUCAUAAAAGCCCCAAACUGAAAACAGUUUAAAUGUCUUUGACACAAAAAUAGAAAACUUGUGGGGCGUCUGGGGGCUCAGUGGGUUAAGCCUCUGCCUUCAGCUCAGGUCAUAAUCCUGGGGUCCUGGGAUCAAGCCUCGCUUCAGGCUCUUGCUCAGCGGGGAGCCCGCUUCCCCCCCCCCCCUCUGCCUGCUUGUGAUCUCUCUCUCUGUCAAAUAUAUAAAUAAAAUCUUAAAAAAAAAAGAAAACUUGUGGUAUAAUCAUGAAAUGGACUACAUGUAUUCAUUAAUAAGGAGUGACUAAUAAAAAAACAAUGAAUUGCAGAAUGGUACAUACUGCCUGAUUUUGUUUAUGUGCUGUCCUAGAAUAAGCAAAUAAUCUAUGGUGGAAAAGAAAGUCAAAGCAGGGGCUCCUAGGUGGCUCAGUGGGUAAAGCCUCUGCCUUUGGCUCAGGUCAUGGUCCCAGGGUCCUGGGAUCGAGCCCCGCACGGGCUCUCUGCAUGGCAGGGAGCCUGCUUCCCUUCCUCUCUCUCUGUCUGCCUUUCUGCCUACUUGUGAUAUCUGUCAAGUGAAUAAAUAAAAUCUUUAAAAAAAAAAAAAAAGUCACAACAGUGGUUGCCUGUGUGGAAUGGGGAUUGUCUGGGAAAGGGCAUGAGGGAACUUUACUGUUGCAGUAGGUAAUUUUGUUUUUAGAGAGGUUGAGGAGUUAUAAACAUUUUUCAAAACUCAUGGAAUUGUAUACUUAGUAUAUGUGUGUACCACUGUAUGUAAAUUUUAUUUAAAAACAGAUUAUCAUCACCAAGCAUGGUAGAAAUAGAUAAAAUAAACCUCCUGACGUGAUGCAUUGAGGAUGCAACCUCACCUCUUUAAAUCCUUACAGGAAUGCAUAGCCUGAAUCUAACCAUGAGAAAAUAUCACACAAACUCAAGUUGGAGUUCUACUAUAAAGAAUUACAAAAGAUUCAUCAAAAGAACUAGCCUCUACUUUUUGAAAAUGUCAUGGGGGUGCCUGGGUGGCAAAGAUGGUUAAGCGUCUGCCUUUGAUUCAGGUCAUGAUCUCCAGGUCCUGGAAUUGAGGCACUGCAUUGGGCUCCAAGCUUGUUAGAAAGUCUGCUUCUGCCUCUCCUGCUUGUGCUCUAUCUCUCUGAAAUAAAUAAAAUCUUUUAAAAAAUAAAAAUUUUAUCAUGAAAGAAAAAAUUCCAGGUUAAAGAAAACUAAAGAGGGCGCCUGGGUGGCUCAGUGGGUUAAGCCGCUGCCUUCGGCUCAGGUCAUGAUCUCAGGGUCCUGGGAUCGAGUCCCGCAUCGGGCUCUCUGCUCAGCAGGGAGCCUGCUUCCUCCUCUCUCUCUCUCUCUCUGCCUGCCUCUCUGCCUACUUGUGAUGUCUCUCUGUCAAAAAAAACAAAACAAAACAAUAAAGAAAACUAAAGAAAUAAGACAACUGAAGGAAUCCUGUGAGGAGGACCUUGCAGGCUUAGUUCGUGGGACUCUUGACCUCAAGAUCAUGAGUUCAAGACCCGUGUUGGGCAUGGAGCCUACUCCCCCCAAUAAAAAGGCAGCAUACGAUCCUUUGGACACUGGAUGAGGGGAAAACAGUGUACAUUUUUAAAAUUCUGUUUUGCUAUAAAACUAAUCAGUGUUAUAGUUUGAAUAAGUGUGACAGAUUAGAUAGUAUUUGUUGAUCUUAAUUGCCUAAUUUUUACAAUUAUACUGUGAUUAUGUUAAUGUGUUUUUAAAGAAAUACGUAUUUAAGGAUGAGUGGUUUAGGUUGCAAAUGGUUCCGGAAAAAAUAUAUUUAGAGAGAAUGUUGAAGUAAGUGGUGUAAAAUGGUGACAUGAGAAUCUAGACAUCUGUGCAGGAUGUACAAAAGGUUUUUUGUUUGUUUGUUUGUUUGUUUAGAUUUUAUUUAUUUAUUUGACAGAACAUGAGAGGGCACAAGCAGGGGGAGGGACAGAAGGAGAGGGAGAAGCAGUCUUCCCUCUAAGCAGGGUGCCAGAUGCAGGACUUGAUCCCAGGACCCUGGGAUCAUGACCUGAGCUGAAGGUAAGAUGUUUAACUGACUGAGCCAGCCAGGCACCCAAAAGUGAAAUUAUUUCUGGGGCACCUGGGUGGCUCAGGACGGUCUGGCUGGACCAAUGAAGAGAGAAACCACACAAUAAUUUGAACAGGGAAAGUACAGGAUUGGGGUAAUGAGCGGUUGGCUAGUAAUAAAGAGAACACUAAAGAAUAUGAAGGCUAAUAUAAGGGACUAAAGAAUAUGAAGCCAAUAUAAGGGAUAGCUAAUAACCCUAGGGCUAAGCUAGAGUGCCCAAGGGAGAGUCUCCCUCUUCCCCCAUCACCACCAGACCUUGUUAAAAAGGACUUAGUUGGUGCUUACUGAGUGACAGAACAGUUGCUUGGGUGUUUUCAGGGAACAUGCUGAAAUCUGCCCUCUUGAGUACCCGGUAGAGCUGUUCAGAUACCACUCUGCUACAAAACCACUCAAGUCAAAGCUCAUAUGGACUUUAGAACCUGGCUUAGCAGGAGCUGGGUGCCGCAGGAGCCUGCUGAGGAAGCACACUGGAACAAGAAGCAGAAAUCUUUUUCUUGCUCUAUACUGACAAAAAAGUUAACUUUCCACCUGGCAAGGGAAAAAUGUUAAGUGCCCAGACACGUUUAUACUGAGCAGGCAAAAAGGAUGACUUUGGAACUAAGAAACAAUAAGUUGGUAAAUGGCACGGAGUACUAUAUCAUUGUUUAUAUUAACCAGCCAGUGUAUUCCCCUUCUAGAAUGUAGCCCCUCACUGAACACAAAACAGUUGGAAAUAGGAUCCAGAUUGAGCUGUGGAGGUGGAAACAUAGAGACAAAGGAAAGUGAAGGUUGAGAUAAAAGGGAGGGAGGAAUGUAGCCAGGGCAUGAAAGAAACUAAGCCACCAUAUUUUUUAACACUUUAUGAAAACAACACAACAGAGAGCUCUAAAGCUUCAUGUCAGAAAAGCUGUCUUGACAUUGACAAAAACUAAUCAUAUGUAAAUGAACAUAAAGGGUCAAGAGAAUAAGGAGCAGAAUAACAUCCUUAACAGUGCAGAGUACACCUGUACAGCAUGUCCACAAAACAGAUAAGAACCUUUUAAAAUUUACUCUUACUACAGUGUUACCAUGCUGUUUUAAAAUUUAAAUGAUACUAAGAAAAUGGCAUAAGAACAACCUAAACCAGAAAAAAGUACUAGAAAUCAGGAAAGAAGUAUUGAAAAAUUUGUUGGGUGCCUGGGUGGCUCAGUUGGUUAAGCAUCUGCCUUCAGCUCAGGUCAUGAUCCUGGAGUCCCACAUUGGGCUCCCUGCUUGUCGGGGAGUCUGCUUCUCCCUCCAACCUUUCCCCCCCUCCCUCUCUCUCUCUCUCAAAUAAAUAAGUAAAAUCUUUCUUUAAAAAAGUAAUGAAAAUUUUGAGGAAAAGGGAGACUAAACAAGGAACACAAGAGAAUAAUCCGUGUUUUUCAAGGAUUACAAGAGGAAAACAAGAAGAAUUACAAGAGGACAAAAUUUAUUAAAGAUUUUAUUUAUUAGGGAGAGAAUAAGGGGGAUUUGGGGAGAAUGGAGGGAGAGGGACAACAGACUGCUGAGCGCAGAGCCCAGUGUGGGGCUCAGUCCCAUGACCUGAGCCAAAAUCAAGAGUUGGGCAUUUGACCAAUUGAGCUACCCCGGCACCUCAGAAGAGGAAAUUUUUUAGUGAGGGAGGCACAGCCAGUUAAGUGAUCGACUUUGUUUCAGCUCAGUUCAUGGUCUUAAGAGUCCUGGGAUUAAGCCCCAAGUGAGGCUCUACACUCUGGCAGGGAAUCUGUUUGGCAUUCUGUCUUCCUCCCCUCCUACCCCUCUCCACCCUGUGCAUGUGUGUGUGCUCUUUCUUUUUUUCUUUCUCAAAUAAAUCUUUUUUUUUUUAAGUUAGAAUUGAGGGGCCCAUGGAGGUCUCAUGACUCAGUCUCAGGGUCGUGAGUUACAAGCCCCACAUUGAGGGUAGAGUUUACUUCAUUUUUUAAUGCUUCAUUAUUUUUAAAAAUAAUAAAAGAAUGAGAAAUGAUACAGAUUUGGUCAAAAAAGAGCAUCUAUAUAUGUGUAUGUAUAUAUACACACGUGUGUGUGUGUGUGUGUAUAAAGAUCCUGUACACACACAUACCCAGAAAAAAAAAAAAACCGCUUAAAGGCUAAAAAUUAUAAUUCAAGAAUAAUUUCUUGAAAUACAGUAAAAUUUGAGCUAUGAAUUGAAAGGACAGAACAGCCAGCACCUAAGUAGGCUUAUAAAAUGCUAGUCUCGGGGCGCCUGGGUGGCUCAGUGGGUUAAAGCCUCUGCCUUCAGCUCAGGUCAUGAUCCCAGGUCCUGGGAUCGAGCCCCACAUCCGGCUCUCUGCUCAACAGGGAGCCCUGCUUCCCUUACUCUCUCUGCCUGCCUCUCUGCCUACCUGUGAUCUCUGUC